CUGAGCUCUCAGGAGAAUGAAAUCAUGUGAUUAUCCCCAGAAGAGGUACAGAACAAGCAGUGGCAGUGCAAGCUUCUCCACAUGACCCCCACCAGUGUCCUCAGCCCUGACCUGAGGAACUGCUUUAAAGGGUUAGAGGGCAGUUUACUCUCAUUGCCUUCUCUUUUUGGCUUUC
rnacentral:sRNA from 1 species